rnacentral:lncRNA from 1 species
UAAUGAUGAUGGUAGUGAUAGCAGUUUAGUGAUGGUGGUGGUGGUAGAUGUAGUAAUGACGAUGGUAGUGAUACCAGUUUAGUGAUGGUGGUGGUGGUGGUAGUAAUGAUGAUGGUAGUUAUAGCAGUUUCGUGAUGGUGGUGGGGUAGAAGUAGUCAUGAUGAUAGUAGUGAUAGCAGUUUAGUGAUGGUGGUGGAAGGAAUAGUGAUGAUGAAAGAAGUGAUAGCAGUUUAUUCAUGGUUGUGGUAAUAGUAAUAGAAUGAUGACGGUAGUGAUAGCAGUUUAGUGAUGGUGGUGGGGGUAGUAGUAGUAGUAAUUUUGAUGGUAGUGAUAGCAGUUUAGUGAUGGUGGUGGUGGUAGUAUAAUGAUGAUGGUAGUGAAAGCAGUUUAGUGAUGGUGGUGGUGGUAGAUGUAGUAAUGAUGAUGUUAGUGAUACCAGUUUAGUGAUGGUGGUUGUGAUAGUAGUAGUAAUGAUCAUGGUAGUGAUAGCAGUUUAGUGAUGGUGGAGGUAGUAGUAGUAAUGAUGAUGGUAGUGAUAGCAGUUUAGUGAUGGUGAUGGUGGUAGUAGUAGUAAUGAUGAUGGUAUUGAUAGCAUUUUAGUGAUGGUGGAAGUGGUAGUAGUAAUGAUGAUGGUAGUGAUAGCAUUUUAGUGUUGGUAUUGGUAGUAGUAGUAAUGAUGAUGGUAGUGAUAGCAGUUUAUUGAUGGUGGUUGUAGUAGUAAUUAUGAUGGUAGUUAUAGCAGUUUAGUGAUGGUGGUGGGGGUAGAAGUCGUAAUGAUGAUAGUAGUGAUAGCAGUUUAGUGAUGGUGGUGGUAGUAGUAGCAAUGAUGAUGGUAGUGAUAGCAGUUUAGUGAUGGUGGUGGUGGUAGCAGAAAUGAUGAUGGUAUUGAUAACAGUUUAGUGAUGGUGGUAGUAGUAGUAAUUAUGAUGGUAGUGAUAACAGUUUAGUGAUGGCAGGAUGGUAGUAGUAGUAAUGAUGGUGGUAGUGAUAGCAGUUUAGUGAUGGUGGUGGUGGUAGUAGUAAUGAUGAUGGAAGUGAUAGCAGUUUAGUGAUGGUGAUGGUAGUAUUAGUAAUGGUGUUGGUAGUGAUUGCAGUUUAGUGAUGGUGGUGGUAGUAGUAGAAUGAUGAUAGUAGUGAUAGCAGUUUAUUGAUGGUUGUGGUAAUAGGAAUGUAAUAGAAUGAUGACGGUUGUGAUAGCAGUUUAGUGAUGGUGGUGGUGGUAGUAGUAAUGAUGAUGGUAGUGAUAACAGUUUAGUGAAUGUGGUGGUGGUAGUAGUAGUAAUGAUGGUAUUGAUAGCAGUUUAGUGAUGAUGGUAGUAGUAGUAACGAUGAUGGUAGUGAUAGCAGUUUAGUGAUGGUUGUGGGGUAGUAGUAAUGAUGAUGGUAGUGAUAGCAGUUUUGUGAUGGUGGUGGUAGUAGUAGAAUGAUGACAGAUGGGAUAGCAGUUUAGUGAUGGUGGAGGUAGUUGUAGUAUUGAUGAUGGUAGUGAUAGCAUUUUAGUGAUUGUGGAGGUGGUAGUAGUAAUGAUGAUGGUAGUGAUAGCAUUUUAGUGUUGGUGGUGGUAGUGGUAGAAUGAUGACGAAUGGGAUAGCAGUUUAGUGAUGGUGGAGGUGGUAGUAGUAAUGAUGAUGGUAGUGAUAGCAUUUUAGUGUUGGUGGUGGUAGUAGUAGUAAUGAUGAUGGUAGUGAUAGCCUUUUAGUGAUGGUGGUGGUAGUAGUAGUAAUGAUGAUAGUAGUUAUAGCAGUUUAGUGAUGGUGGUGGUAGUAGUAGAAUGAUGAUGGUAGUGACAGCAGUUUAGUGAUGAUGAUAGUAGUGAUAGCAGUUUAUUGAUGGUCGUGGUAAUAGUAAUGUAAUAGAAUGAUGACGGUAGUGAUAGCAGUUUAGUGAUGGUGGUGGUGGUAGUAG